GACGAACGCUGGCGGCGUGCUUAACACAUGCAAGUCGAACGGAAAGGCCCUGCUUUUGUGGGGUGCUCGAGUGGCGAACGGGUGAGUAACACGUGAGUAACCUGCCCUUUACUUUGGGAUAACUUCAGGAAACUGGGGCUAAUACCGGAUAGGAGCUCCUGCUGCAUGGUGGGGGUUGGAAAGUUUCGGCGGUUGGGGAUGGACUCGCGGCUUAUCAGCUUGUUGGUGGGGUAGUGGCUUACCAAGGCUUUGACGGGUAGCCGGCCUGGGAGGGUGAACGGCCACAUUGGGACUGAGGUACGGCCCAGACUCCUACGGGAGGCAGCAGUGGGGAAUAUUGCACAAUGGGCGGAAGCCUGAUGCAGCAACGCCGCGUGCGGGAUGACGGCCUUCGGGUUGUAAACCGCUUUCGCCUGUGACGAAGCGUGAGUGACGGUAAUGGGUAAAGAAGCACCGGCUAACUACGUG
rnacentral:rRNA from 1 species